GUGUCAGCCGCCGCGGUAAUACGAAGGGGGCUAGCGUUGUUCGGAAUCACUGGGCGUAAAGGGCGCGUAGGCGGCCGAUCAAGUCGGGGGUGAAAGCCUGUGGCUCAACCACAGAAUGGCCUUCGAUACUGUUUGGCUUGAGACCGGAAGAGGUCAGUGGAACUGCGAGUGUAGAGGUGAAAUUCGUAGAUAUUCGCAAGAACACCAGUGGCGAAGGCGGCUGACUGGUCCGGUUCUGACGCUGAGGCGCGAAAGCGUGGGGAGCAAACAGGAUUAGAAACCCUUGUAGUCC
rnacentral:rRNA from 1 species